rnacentral:lncRNA from 1 species
UCGACAUAUUCCACGAGUGCUUGAACUGACAGGCUACCGCGGAUGUCUGUUACCAUCUCUGAUCUUGGAGCCCUUGUGCGACUGUUCUUGUGUUUCUCAGUCGUUUAGGAAUGGUGACGAUGAGGUUCGGUGCUAGGUGCUCCACCUUCUAUCCAUCGAUCUAACUGUCGGUCCAGAAUAUUGCUAUGCAUCCAUUGCCAAGCUGUACCGUAACAGAAGCGUUGACGAAGGCAUGUAACUCGAGCUCGAUCUUGAUAUGAAGCUCAAACCAGGCCCUCUCGUUGUCCGUUUCUUUAGCGCACGAGGCGACACGGCAUCACGGCGGAGCAAUGGGCUCGGGUGCUGGGUGCUCUCCACUGAGACGGGCACGUUCCCAUCUCCUUGCCGAG